UAAUGCUCAGACAGAGAGAAUAAUAGAAUUCUAGAGGGAAACAGAAUUUCUUGUAUAUUCGCUGCCUUUCCAAUCAUUUGUAUACCUCUAUAUAACAGCAUACAUGCUACGCGAAAAAGUAAAAAUGACAAAAGGAAUAAAGUUAGUUAUGAUCCUAAAUCCUUCUAGAACCAUAACACUGCCAAAUCAUCAAUUAGUCACGUAGUCGUUGAGGUGUGUGGGUUUCCUUCGGAUUCUUUUGGGUAAUUCUCCUCGGUCCACGUUUUCUUGAUCCUGUGUUGGGCCUUGAGGCUCUUCAUCAGUAAUGGGCCUAACAGUUUACUAGAUAAUCGAGCCUUGCAUAAAAGUAUUAUAUAUGUACCAGAGUAAUACUACUGAAGGUUUUCUUUAAGCAUUUUCUUAAAAUAAUUUUCUUUUUAGCUUGUGAAGAACUUCAAUUCUGACACUGACGCUUAAACAAAUUUGGCUAUCAACCUUGCAGAUGGCCAAUUACAUUAAGAGUGUAUAUAAUAUUGACCGAUGGCUGCUGCUGGGUGGAAUUUGUUGCUGGAAAACGUCUGCAGUUUGAAGGAAGUGUCUCAGCAGUUAUACAACUUAUGGGCUCAGCGUUUUGAAUUUCCAUAAAUUUUUGGCCACAAUGGAAGAUUCCCAUUACGACUUAUCGACACUGCAAUCAUAUCAAGUUGAGAUCGUUAUUUUCACUUUUGAGCAUACGGAAGAUCAGAAUAUCUUGCAGUCUAAAGAAAACACGAUUCUUGUUCAAUAACACUAAUAUUAUUACUUAGUUGAAAAUGUUGUUUCAUUAUUAAUUUUGUAUCUAUUCAGGCUCGAUUUACGUGCACGGUAGUGUUUCAAUUAUUGUAAGAAUAUUCUGUAAACUAAUGCUUUCAACUCCUGCUAACCAGUGAAGUUGAUAUUCGGAGUA